CAGUAAUAUUUUAAGAUCAAUUAUUUGCUUCCUACUGAGUGUUAUGCAGAGUUGGUUUGACCUCAGAUGGUUGGCUGUGAAGGUCAGGGUGACAGCUGCUCCUAUGACCUUUAAAGAAAUCAGUACAAAGAUUUCCUGGGGAAUCAGCACCUACCUGUGCCUUCAUGUAUCAUCUUUCCUGUGACUGUCCCUGACAACAAAGAUCCAUUUCCUUACUGGUCCACAGCUUGUGUGUCACAAUAUCUAUUUGACCAUAUUGUGACUGUAAUUAUUAUUUCUUUUUGACUCAGCUAAUUGUGUUAGCAGUGUUUUCCUCUUCCUUGCUCUGUAAAAAGUCCCUCAGAUGGUGUUUAACAAGAGUGCAUGUAACAAGAAACAAAUUGUUUCUGGGGAGUGCUAUUUACCUUUUUUAUUUUCUGCUUUGUUAGCAACGCAGAGGUUUCAUUAGCAAGGAACAAAUGAAUAGCAAAGACAGCUAAUCUUAUACGUGCAUACGCACGCACACAUACACACACAAUAGAUAGAGAACACAACCACACAUCUUCGCAUAAAGAAGAAGAAAAGAAUGAAAUGUGCACUUGGGCUAAUGGGGCUUAUUGUUACAUCAUUAUUUGACUAGAUUAAACUCUUAGUAAUUGGUGGUCCAAUCACAUAAUGGAGUUCUGUAUUUUCCCCGAUGAAAAAAAAAAAAUGGAGCCAGUGCUUCACAAAUGUGGUGAGAUUGAGCCCUACAGCACUUCCAUGGGCUCAAAAAGCCCAUGCAUUCCCAUCAGAGGGAUAUCUUGGACUUAGAACCAUGGAUAAGUAUAAACAAAGCUUGGAUUAUGAGGCUUAAUCUAUCCAAAAUUUCCACAGGAAAGGCAGAAACACUCAGAAAUGUAUAUGCAAUGAUUAAGGCUCUUUGAGAGACAUUGCUCAGUGUUGAAAACAUACCUGCCCCUCAAUACUGAACUAAAUGCCCAGAGAACAUUUAAGUAGAAAUGUAGUACAUCCCAGAAAUCUCAGCUGAUGUGGAAGGAAGAAUGCAGUAUCAGGCAAUGGAAGAAAGAACUUAUAUGAGUUCUAAUAGGAGGUAGUCUGGAGAGGCUCUCCUUUACUAGGGCCCAUUGCAGUCAGCAGGUAUAAGACUCUGAGUUACCCUAGUGCUAUUUCUCCCAAGGUUUUGAAGGAAUGUCCCAUUGAGUGCAGAAAGAAUUUAAAAUCUACCAGACAAAGCCAAAGGAAGAAAUUCAGUAAGCUGAUAUACAGCAGAAGUAUUCAAGUCAAAACUAUUGACUCCUAGCCAAGAUGAUUUCUAAUAGAAAUUAGGAUGAAGAAGAUUUCAGUUCAUCACGAAAAAAAAAAAAAAUGCUAAAAAUUAAAAGACUCUUCAAUAAUGGAAUGAGUUUUCUUAGGGUGAGUUUCUCAUUGCUAUAAAGAUAAAGCAAAGGCUGGAUGACUGUUAAAUAUCUGCUCAUUAAUUCCUUCAGACAUGCAUUUAUUUAACAAAUAUUUAUGACUCCUGCUUUAUGUGUCAGGGGAUGUUAAGCUAGAAACAUCAAAGAUAUAUUCAACUCAAAAAAUCUUAUAAAAAAUUCUAAGUUGAGGGCAAGAAUUGCAAAUGUAUGAAUUAACCAAUAACAUCCGAGGCGACUAAAUGUGUGUGUCUUAAAUACCUGGGCUGUCUACACUUUUACCACUCAGAUGAUUUACAUCCAGUCCAUGUAUUAGGGUAAAAAUCUACACAGUACCCCAAUCUUCUAACUUGUGGUUUCCUUUUCAUCUUUAUCUUAUUGUUCAGUAGUUACUUUUCCAGACAAAUUGAGUCAGGAACAUUGCUUUGGUGCUCUCGUUUGCAUGGAAAGUUGUCAGGCCUGAUCUGACCUGCCUUUCCAUCAGGAUUAUAAAGGUGACGGAUAGUCAAUUUCAAGGAUUCAUGAUCCAUUUUACCACGGUGCUUCACCUUGCAGCUAAGUAAUACAGCUGUGAUAAAAUCAGCCAUAAUCACUGCAUCUUACUCAGCCCUGCCAUGGCUAUAAAUACUCGUUUCAUAACAAAGAAAAAAGCAAAUGGAACAAAAGGGGAGCUAGAAGAAAGAUGAAGGCAAAUGUGAAGGUUUAUUUCUAGUGACUAAUGGGAGAAUGUGUUUAUAGUUUUUUACCCUGUUCAUUUUUCCGUACAGCAAAUGGGAACAUACAUCACAUGAUCAAAGACAUUUACUUGUUGAUUCAUCAAACAUAAAUCAAUCAUAAGCACUUUAUUAAGUAUUUAUAUGCACUUUGAUUAUUAUUAGCAUUAUACAUAUGGGGCAGUUUAAUAAUUCCAGGCAUGAAGACCUCAACAUUUAAUAUAAACACAUGUGUAUGUACAUGAACAUAUAACAGACCUCCUUUGGGAACAGAUAUACAGAUUAUGAUAUUAAUAGGUGAGAAAGAAGUCAAAAUUAUUUUACUCAUUUAUUUUUGAACCCCACCUGUUAUUGAUGUUAAAGGUAAAGCAAUGAUGGAAGCAGAGAAAAAGCAAGCCCUUAAAAACUUACAUUUUAGAGAAGGGAGACAGAAAACAGAACAACAAAAUAAAGAUCUGUAGUAUGUUAAGAGUGAUGAGACAAAAAAAAUAAUACAGAAGGGAGGGGUGCAGAAAUAGUCAGGCAUGGGAAAAAUUUUCAAAUAUACUGACUGAUAUUUUAGGCACCUUCCUGAUAGUUGAGCAAAAGGCUUGAAGAAUAAGCCAUCCAGAUGCUCGGGAGGUGAAAUAUCAUGUUCAAAGAAUUUAGGAAGGAGGGUGCUUAGUGUGUGUGAAGAUACGUGAAGAGGCUGCUGUGGCCCAUGCAGCCUGAGUAAGGGAGAAAUAAGGCCAGAGAGUCAACAGCAGUCUGGAUAGGAAGGGCCCCCAGAGCACUUCCUAAGGACUUGAGCUUUUUCUCUUAGACCAUUGGAGUCUUCAAGUAGAAAAGUAACAAGCUCUGACCUCAGUGCUGAAAUGAUUAUUCUGGUUGCUCUGGGAAGAAUAUAGUUAAAGGCAAGAAAGAAGGCAAGGGGCCGGGUUAGAAGACUAUUGUAAUUUGCCAGACUAGUGUAGAUGCUGACCCUGAUCAUACCACAUUUAACCUCAGCAGCAAGAGGAAGGAUCUGCCAUCCUUCCUUGGAUAGGGAGGAAUGAGGGAAAGUUUGAAGAGUAGCAGCUUGAUUUUAGGCAUGUUAAGUUUGAAGUUCCUCUCAGGCAUCAAGGUGGAGAUGUCAAAUCAGGAAUGGGAUAUAUGAGAUGGGAGUCCAAGGUAAGGGUCUAGGCUGAAGGUUCAAAUCUAGGAGUCGUCAACAUAUUCAAGCCACAAGACUGGAUGAGAUAACCUAGGUUGUGGACAGAAAAGAGAAGUCCAGGACAGAGCCAGCUUUUAGAGAUUCUCUUCUGGAAUUUGUAAUUGACCAGCUCUGUAUCUUAAUGAUACAAAAUCAUCCUAGUGACUCUGUAAGUCAUUAACCCCUGUAGUUCUAAAUUUUUUUAAGGUAUGCCUAUAUGAUGGGAAAAAUUUGGGGAGUGGUACAAAUAACCUAGGUGUGGUAACAUUAAUAACAGUAGCAACAUGAAUAGCAACAAGGAAAAAGCUCUUAUUUAUCACCUAUUUACUAGAUGUGAAGUCCUAUGCUAGGCAUUCCAUGUAUGCUUGCUUUCUGAACUGCCUCAAUUCUGAAGGUGUGGAAUUAUUCCCACUAUUAUCUCCAUUCUGCAGUUGUGGAAACAAAGGUUUUGAAAGUUGAAGAUGUCCUAAAGAUCAUACAUAGAGCAAGGUUUACCCAAUUUCAAAGCUGGUCCUCUUAAUCAAGGAAACUCCAAUCUAAUGAUGUUCCUUUUCAUAGGCCUUCUGGGAAUUCUUUCCAUUUUUGCCUGUAAGAAUUUUUUUUUUUUCUGGGCCACAGGUGAAACAUAUGGAAGUUCCAAGGCUAGGGAUAAAAUUGGAGCUACAGCUGCUAGCCUAUGCCACAGCUGCAGCAACGCCAAGUCCAAACCACGUCUACAACCUACGCCACAGCUCAUGGCAAUGACAGAUCCAUAAUCUGGGCCAGGGAUCAAACCUGCAUCCUCAUGAAUACUAGUUGGGUUCAUUUCCACAGAGCAACAAUUGGAACUCCCAGUGAGGAUUAUUUCUGUGCUUCAACUUCAUCCAAACCCUUUCAAACUAUGAAAGAGCUUCACUUUGAGAUUGUACAAUGUCAGGUGGGAAAGGGAGAGGGAUUUUAACCUGAUAGGCAGAUUAGAAUUUGGAUCUGCUUACUUGCUAUGCAAUUAUGGGGAACUUAAUUUCUCUGAGUGCUGGAUUCCUCAUCUGCAAAAUGGGACUAAUAACACAUACCUAAAUGGCAUUUAACCACAGGAGGACGUGAGGAUUAAAAGGAGGCAUACGUGGUUGGUAUAGUGCCUGGAACAGGGUAGACACAAUAAAAGUGGUUAGUGCUGCUGUUAUUAUAUACAUCAUUAUUUGAGUUCCCUUCCACCUAGUCACCAUUUUCUCCAAGUACUGUGCUCCACCUGGUUGCACUUCAUCUGCUAGGAAAAGCUGGAUUUGCCCUCUUCCUCUGCCCUCUAGAAAUCUGCUACCCCCACCCCCACUUGGGUGGUUUCCAGAUCUGUCUGCAUGCAACUCACGCUUUUGUUUCCCAUUAUGCCUGCUAUUAUGGCAUCUUUCAUCUUAUAAGAAACUCUAAGUGUGUUAUAAAUCCUUAUAACCAAACCAUGAGGCAGAUUGACUUGGUUAUAGAACACAUUACAGGGAGAAGCAAGGUCUUCAUCAUUGUUUUCUUCAAUCUCGACUAUUUACUGAAUUUAUAUUAUAUAUUGGGUACUCAGAAAACAUAACACACAGCACCAACAUUACCAUGGUCCUCUAGAAGCAUCUAUUUUAAACACGUCUCCUAAGUCUCAUGUCACUGAGUUCAGGGUCCCUUCCUUGCUGCUCCACCUGCAUACCCAAUCAAAUAGCUUC
rnacentral:lncRNA from 1 species